rnacentral:rRNA from 1 species
CUGGGCCGUUACUGACGCUGAGGAGCGAAAGCGUGGGGAGCGAACAGGAUUAGAUACCCUGGUAGUCCACGCCGUAAACGGUGGAUGCUGGAUGUGGGGCCCGUUCCACGGGUUCCGUGUCGGAGCUAACGCGUUAAGCAUCCCGCCUGGGGAGUACGGCCGCAAGGCUAAAACUCAAAGAAAUUGACGGGGGCCCGCACAAGCGGCGGAGCAUGCGGAUUAAUUCGAUGCAACGCGAAGAACCUUACCUGGGCUUGACAUGUUCCCGACGAUCCCAGAGAUGGGGUUUCCCUUCGGGGCGGGUUCACAGGUGGUGCAUGGUCGUCGUCAGCUCGUGUCGUGAGAUGUUGGGUUAAGUCCCGCAACGAGCGCAACCCUCGCCCCGUGUUGCCAGCGGAUUAUGCCGGGAACUCACGGGGGACCGCCGGGGUUAACUCGGAGGAAGGUGGGGAUGACGUCAGAUCAUCAUGCCCCUUACGUCCAGGGCUUCACGCAUGCUACAAUGGCCGGUACAACGGGAUGCGACAGUGCGAGCUGGAGCGGAUCCCUGAAAACCGGUCUCAGUUCGGAUCGCAGUCUGCAACUCGACUGCGUGAAGGCGGAGUCGCUAGUAAUCGCGAAUCAGCAACGUCGCGGUGAAUGCGUUCCCGGGCCUUGUACACACCGCCCGUCAAGUCAUGAAAGUGGGCAGCACCCGAAGCCGGUGGCCUAACCCCUUGCGGGAGGGAGCCGUCUAAGGUGAGGCUCGUGAUUGGGACUAAGUCGUAACAAGGUAGCCGUACCGGAAGGUGCGGCUG